rnacentral:lncRNA from 1 species
AUUUAUCAAACAAUUGUAAAAAGAUGUGAAAAUUAUGCUUCGUGCCCUUUAACUAACAAAAAGCCUGAAGACGUUAAUUUUAGGCACGGAGAGCAAAAAUGGGUGUCAACAGUUGCCCCUUUUCAUUUGAGGACGAUGUAGAAGUCUUCAAAUGAAAAUGUUGACGUGUAGCCAAUUUUGCUCGACAAAAAUGAUUUGAAGAAAAUUCGAUCGAACUCCAAUUUAAAGUUACCUACUUACUCGAGUUGUAUGAGGAUCAGAUCAAUGUAGUUCAAAAAAUGUAAGCAAAUCGCUCUGUUGUUAAGGGUGAGAGAUCAUGCGAAAUGAUUAUUGGGAGAAGGACUAAUUGGAAACAAAAAUGGUCAUCUAUUUUUGAUGCUCCUUUCAAAAUUGCCCCUGUGAGAUGUUGGAGACGCAAGAUAGUGUACUUGCUGGGGAGAAAGAAUGAUUACGGUUGUGACGAUCAAACUCUGAACAGAGCUUUCUAAAUAUCUCGAGUGUUACGAGAAUCAGGUCAUUGUAAUUCGAAUCAUAGCAAUAUCAAAAUUUGCCUCAGUGUAGAGUUAUGGUGACACUGGGUUCCUUCAAGGAUGACAACAAAGAUUUUAACACGAAUGGAAUGAAUACGGGUGCUUGUUUCAAAAUUGACUAUUUGGGUAGCUGGAAAUGAGUAGAUGUCGGAUAGCACUAUUUGCUGGGGACUUUGAUGGAAAAAGAGAUUGCGAAUUUUCAAAGAUUGCCCCACUAUAGGAUUAAGAAGACAUUGAGUAAUGAUAAUAAGGAUUAUAAAAAUGAGAGUUUUGGGUCGAGUUGAGUUUAGUUUUUUCGUCGAAAUUCCUGACGUAACUAGGGAUCACUAACAUUCUGCUAGCUUCCCCCAGUUUGCUGCUAAGAGGAUAGUUCCACGUUGUACUGCAUGUUCUAGUAUUGUCUCUGUUUUUUAAGGCAAUCCGCCUGGCGGGGUGAUAACUGAAAUGUAAAUAGCCUCCGUCAACUGAGCAGUAAUUGAAAUGUAAAUAGCCUCCGUCGGCUGAGCAGUUGAUGAAAUAUAAAUAGCCUUCGUCGGCUGAGAAAUUGCUGAAAUGUAAAUAGCCUUUGUUGGUUGAAAUGUAAAUAGCCUCCGCCGGCUGAAAUGUAAAUAGCCUUCGUCGGCUGAAAUGUAAAUAGCCUCCGCCGACUGAAAUGUAAAUAACCUCCGCCGGCUGAAAUGCUUGUUGAUGAAGUGAAAGUUGCAUUAUAUGCCCUAUUGUUGGGGGCGGGCGUGCCCUGUCCUAUUGUUCGGGGCGGACUUGCCCUGUCCUAUUGUUCGGGGCGGACUGCCCUGUGUUAUGUUAGAGUUUUAUGAACAUCUGUUAGUACUUGAUGACCGAGUCUUAAUGGGGAUAUCCCUUUAAUGCGACAUCAAGAAAUUUCUUUUAGAGUUGGAAAGUAUUAGCGAAUGAAUUGAUAAAACCUGUCUUCCUGGCUUGUGAUAGAGAUGUGAUGUUGAGUUUCUGAUGGAAUGUUGUAAGAUACUUGACACGUGCCUCCUUGAGCAUUAUUAUGACCUGCAAGAUUCGAGAAGAUUCUUUAGUGUCUUGGAAUAAUUAUGGAUAAAUUGAUGACACCUGGAUUCUCAGCUUGUGAUGGUGAGGUAAGCUUUCAAGAUGUUUGAACCUUUAUUGUAGCGAUGUUGUACCUGCGCUCAAAUAAAGUUUCUUAGUUUGGGGAGGGGAUGUUGAUUUUGUGUUGAUCAAGAACUCGGCCUAGCAGCUAUCUCGUCCUUCAAUCUUUCGACAAUCGGUAAUCUAUUCGAGAUUAGGAGUAGUGACACUUCCUAACUCCACAUAAUCUGCUUAUACUAGUAUGUCUUCUGGUGGGAACUUUCUUCAUCUUGAUCUUCGCUUUCGGGCUUCCAUCAAAGUGAUGUGGUUGUUGUGGCUUGAGAUGAUAAAUGAAUUUGAAAAGAUGUAAAAGAUUAUGUUGUUGAUAUGAUCGAGCUUGACUUAAGCUGCCUACAUAUCAAGUCAAAACGUAGUUUCGUGUGAGGGGAAUCAAGAAAAAUUUGGCCACAAGGGUGGGUAUGUGGAGAAUGGUAAGGUUGAUAAUCAUGAGCUUGCUUUGGAAACCAUGUAGAGAAAUUGAGAUGCAAAUCAUGAGAUAGUAUCUUUUAACAAUAUUUGUAAAGAAGAUCUUUGGUUAAGUGGUGAAAGUAUCUUCUGUAUUGACCCUUGGUGCAUUUUUCUCGAUGUUGUAGUCAAUUCAUCCCCCGUUGAUGUCUUGUAGCUCUAAUGAUGUCUUGCAUUAUCUGGUACAAAUCAACCUUGAUUGUAACAUUUCCAAGUUG